rnacentral:RNase_P_RNA from 1 species
GCGGAGAGGUGGAUGGCCGCGGGGCGACAGCUCCGAGGAAAGUCCGGACUCCACAAGGAAACGGUGCCGGGUAACGCCCGGCGGGGGCAACCCCAGGGAAAGCGCCACAGAGAAUGAGACCGCCGCGCUUUGCGCGGUAAGGGUGAAACGGUGGGGUAAGAGCCCACCGCGGGACGGGCAACCGGACCGGCACGGCAAGCCCCACCGGGAGCAAUGCCGAAUAGGGAUCGCGCGCGGGCCGGUCGGGGAGACCCGAAACCGCCGCAGGGCCGGCCUUGGCCCCGACGAUCCGGGUUGGCAGCUAGAGCCGCGGUGGCAACAUCGCGGCAAGAGGAAUGGUCAUCCAUGGGGGCUUCGGUCCCCGGGACAGAAUCCGGCUUACAGCUUCUCCGCGCCU